GUCUACAGCCAUACCACCCUGAACGCACCCGAUCUUGUCUGAUCUCGGAAGCUAAGCAGGGUUGGGCCUGGUUAGUACUUGGAUGGGAGAAUUACCACAAGCAGAAACU
rnacentral:rRNA from 1 species